GGAUAACAGGUUGAUAUUCCUGUACCACCUAUAAUCGUUUUAAUCGAUGGGGGGACGCAGUAGGAUAGGCGAAGCGUGCGAUUGGAUUGCACGUCUAAGCAGUAAGGCUGAGUAUUAGGCAAAUCCGGUACUCGUUAAGGCUGAGCUGUGAUGGGGGGAAGACAUCGUGUCUUCGAGUCGUUGAUUUCACACUGCCGAGAAAAGCCUCUAGAUAGAAAAUAGGUGCCCGUACCGCAAACCGACACAGGUAGUCAAGAUGAGAAUUCUAAGGUGAGCGAGCGAACUCUCGUUAAGGAACUCGGCAAAAUGACCCCGUAACUUCGGGAGAAGGGGUGCUCUUUAGGGUUAACGCCCAGAAGAGCCGCAGUGAAUAGGCCCAAGCGACUGUUUAUCAAAAACACAGGUCUCUGCUAAACCGUAAGGUGAUGUAUAGGGGCUGACGCCUGCCCGGUGCUGGAAGGUUAAGAGGAGUGGUUAGCUUCUGCGAAGCUACGAAUCGAAGCCCCAGUAAACGGCGGCCGUAACUAUAACGGUCCUAAGGUAGCGAAAAUUCCUUGUCGGGUAAGUUCCGACCCGCACGAAAGGCGUAACGAUUUGGGCACUGUCUCAACGAGAGACUCGGUGAAAUCAUAGUACCUGUGAAGAUGCAGGUUACCCGCGACAGGACGGAAAGACCCCGUGGAGCUUUACUGUAGCCUGAUAUUGAAAUUCGGCACAGCUUGUACAGGAUAGGUAGGAGCCUUUGAAACGUGAGCGCUAGCUUACGUGGAGGCGCUGGUGGGAUACUACCCUAGCUGUGUUGGCUUUCUAACCCGCACCACUUAUCGUGGUGGGAGACAGUGUCAGGCGGGCAGUUUGACUGGGGCGGUCGCCUCCUAAAAGGUAACGGAGGCGCUCAAAGGUUCCCUCAGAAUGGUUGGAAAUCAUUCAUAGAGUGUAAAGGCAUAAGGGAGCUUGACUGCGAGACCUACAAGUCGAGCAGGGUCGAAAGACGGACUUAAUGAUCCGGUGGUUCCGCAUGGAAGGGCCAUCGCUCAACGGAUAAAAGCUACCCCGGGGAUAACAGGCUUAUCUCCCCCAAGAGUUCACAUCGACGGGGAGGUUUGGCACCUCGAUGUCGGCUCAUCGCAUCCUGGGGCUGUAGUCGGUCCCAAGGGUUGGGCUGUUCGCCCAUUAAAGCGGUACGCGAGCUGGGUUCAGAACGUCGUGAGACAGUUCGGUCCCUAUCCGUCGUGGGCGUAGGAAAUUUGAGAGGAGCUGUCCUUAGUACGAGAGGACCGGGAUGGACAUACCUCUGGUGUACCAGUUGUCGUGCCAACGGCAUAGCUGGGUAGCUAUGUGUGGACGGGAUAAGGUGCUGAAAGCAUCUAAGCAUGAAGCCCCCCUCAAGAUGAGAUUUCCCAACUUCGGUUAUAAGAUCCCUCAAAGAUGAUGAGGUUAAUAGGUUCGAGGUGGAAGCAUGGUGACAUGUGGAGCUGACGAAUACUAAUCGAUCGAAGACUUAAUCA
rnacentral:rRNA from 1 species